UAUUGCUCAAUGGAGGAAACUCUGACGCAGCGACGCCGCGUGCGCGAUGAAGGUCUUCGGAUCGUAAAGCUCUGUCCUUGGGGCAGAAGGACGUCAUUUCUGACGUCUUGACGGUACCUAAGGAGGAAGCCCCGGCUAACUACGUGCCAGCAGCCGCGGUAAUACGUAGGGGGCAAGCGUUGUCCGGAAUUAUUGGGCGUAAAGGGUGCGUAGGCGGCCUUUUAAGUCAGAUGUGAAAGCCCACGGCUUAACCGUGGGACUGCAUUUGAAACUGGAGGGCUUGAGUAUCGGAGAGGGUAGUGGAAUUCCCAGUGUAGCGGUGGAAUGCGUAGAUAUUGGGAGGAACACCAGUGGCGAAGGCGACUACCUGGACGAAAACUGACGCUGAGGCACGAAAGCUAGGGGAGCAAACA
rnacentral:rRNA from 1 species